rfam:Bacilli bacterium VT-13-104 contig011, whole genome shotgun sequence.
AGAAUCUUUAAAUCAGUCCUGUGAGGCUGGUAAGGUUGAACGUGAUAACCAAAUUUAUAAAGGCGAAAUAAUAUAUUAUUAUGUUCUCUCUUCAUGUGCACCCUUGCCAAAAUUCAGGCAAGGUUUUUUGCUU